AGCAAAUGAAGUUGCAUCUAUAACUAAAUUAGAAAUAAAUUUGUCAUGCACUUCAAAGUUUUCUGAUUGUU